rnacentral:rRNA from 1 species
AUUGAACGCUGGCGGCAGGCCUAACACAUGCAAGUCGCGCGGAGCGGCGGACGGGUGAGUAAUGCCUAGGACUUCGCCUGGUUGUGGGGGCUAACGUCCGGAAAUGGGGGCUAAUACCGCUUCCUCGCCGUUGCGGCUAUGUCGGAUUAGCUAUUUGGUGGGGUAAAGGCCUACCAAGGCGACGAUCCGUAACUGGUCUGAGAGGAUGAUCAGUCACACUGGAACUGAGACACGGUCCAGACUCCUACGGGAGGCAGCAGUGGGGAAUAUUGGACAAUGGGCGAAAGCCUGAUCCAGCCAUGCCGCGUGUGUGAAGAAGGUCUUCGGAUUGUAAAGCACUUUAAGUUGGGAGGCGUUACCAACAGAAUAAGCACCGGCUAACUUCGUGCCAGCCGCCGCGGUAAUAC